GCGGUAGUAGUUCAGUUGGCUAGAACGCCUCCUUGCCAAGGAGGAGGUCGCCGGUUCGAAUCCGGUCUACCGCUCCA
rnacentral:tRNA from 1 species